rnacentral:rRNA from 1 species
CACGUAGGGGGCGAGCGUUGUCCGGAAUCAUUGGGCGUAAAGAGCUCGUAGGCGGCUCAAUAAGUCGGGUGUGAAACCCCCAGGCUCAACCUGGGGACGCCACCCGAUACUGUUGUGGCUAGAGUCCAGUAGGGGAGUGUGGAAUUCCCGGUGUAGCGGUGAAAUGCGCAGAUAUCGGGAGGAACACCAGCGGCGAAGGCGGCACUCUGGGCUGGUACUGACGCUGAGGAGCGAAAGCGUGGGUAGCAAACAGG